UUCUUUGACAAUUUGUUAAAUAAACCAUAUGACAGACUACAAUGCAAUGUAGUAUGGAUAUUAUCUUGUUCUUAUUAGUUACAAGUGCGAAUUUGUGAUGGAUUGAGUAGGCUGAGAGGUAACUCGUUUAAAAUGCUAGAACUUACAAAAUGUAGGGAAAGAGAUAAUAGUGGUUUGUUAUGAAAUGUUAUAAGGUAUAGAGGUCUAGUCGCCGAUAAUCAAAACCGCUUAUGGAAUAUAGGACGAUAACUUGCUAGUAAUACUAUAUUAUGGUGAUAUAGAGUGAAAGUAAGAUACCAUAAAUCGGUGUUGCAGUUGAGAUAUAGAGAUAUAUGUAUAAGACUAGUGCCUAGUUUGAGUAGCACAAAUCUGCAAGAUUACAUGGAUAAUUAGGAUUAACAAGAAAAAAGGGUUUUUUAAAUUAAUGCUUCUAACGUGUGUGAAAAUUGUUGGUAAUGAAUCCAAUAUGGUCUAGGGUAUUUAUACUAGGUAUUAGAGGAAAUAAGGUCGCUCCUUAUCAGGACUAAUACUUGCCAUUGACUGAAUAAUAAUUGUUCAUAAUGAAUUAGUGUGAGAAACACUAUUUAACAAAUUGUCAAAG
rnacentral:ncRNA from 1 species